UCCGGUUUGUCACCGGCGGUCCCCUUAGAGUUCCCAACUAAAUGCUGGCAACUAAGGGCAAGGGUUGCGCUCGUUGCGGGACUUAACCCAACAUCUCACGACACGGGCUGACGACAGCCAUGCAGCACCUGUGUCCGCGUCCAUUGCUGGAACCACGCAUCUCUGCGUGUAGCACGGCAUGUCAAGGGCUGGUAAGGUUCUGCGCGUUGCGUCGAAUUAAACCACAUGCUCCGCUGCUUGUGCGGGUCCCCGUCAAUUCCUUUGAGUUUUAGCCUUGCGGCCGUACUCCCCAGGCGGGGCACUUAAUGCGUUAGCUCCGGCACGAGAGGAGUCGACACCUCCCACACCUAGUGCCCAUCGUUUACGGCGUGGACUAC
rnacentral:misc_RNA from 1 species